rnacentral:misc_RNA from 1 species
AACUCCUAGUAAAGAUUGACCAAGUAAUGCAUGUUAAGGAACUUCUGGUGGCACCCAAAUCAAAAAUAGAGGGGAACGAUAUCAAACAAAGAAUCAUUACGUAUUCAGAAACUGUUUUAGCAGAGGCAAAGCUAUGUUGUCUUCACAAGAGCCUGUAUCGGUGUACAACUCGAACUCUUGCUAUCAAUACCAUUGUUUUGCUUGUGUUUUACUCGAAUUUUCUAUUGACGUUUCAACUUGGAGAAAUAACGGAGAGUUCGUUAUCGAAAUUGGCGGCUCUUUACUCUACUCUCUCGUUAAAUGGUUGCGAACAGAUUAAAAUUUUAUCGGAAGUGAUCAGAGUGUCCUUGAUAGUCAGCAACAUUCUGUCUGCUGUUUAUCUAAUAACCAACAUGAUCCUUAUCUACCGGUCUCAGAGACAACAUCUUAUGAAAAGAUGGAGAGGGGACAAAUCUUUCAUUCCCACUCAUUGCAGACUUGAUCACUCAGAAAAACUGGUUAUAUUUUUUUCCAGAUUUUGGUGUUUGUCUCAUGCCUCUUGUUAUCUUACUUUUGUAUUUUGCCAAUAAUGAAAAAGGUUCCAGAAGAGUUUUUGAUACCUCUGGAAUUUGUGUUACCUGGUGUGAUCUUUUUGUUUGUCCUGAGAUUCAUCCUUCGAUUCAUCAGCAGUCGUGUGUUCCUACAAAAUCAUUAUCUAAGUGCUGACAAUGGCAAGCACUGGGAAAGAGCAUUGGCUCUGGAUAACAGAUGGGUAUACCAGAACUUGUCAUUCUUCCUGUUUUUCUACUAUAUCCUGACUGGGUUGUACCGAUGUAUAUUCCGUGUCAUGACUUCUAUCUGUAUAAAUACAUUCUACAUUGCACGUAUGGACAAACCAUUACUGAUUCCUGGAUUUGAGCGUUUUGACAUAGAAUAUAUGACUUAUCUUGGAUUCUUGGAGGUUGAGCUUCAUCAAUGUCACCCAGUAGUUGUGGUGUGCUGUGAUUUGCUUAUGAAAUCUGUGAAUCACUUAUCAUCAAACCAGGAAACAAGCUUGGAGUCCCCGAUGGAUGCACAUAAAAGAAAUAUAAUGUCCAAAAUUUACACACGAAAAGUGAGAAACAAGUGGCAAAAGAUGAAGACAUUGAUCUUGAACCAGAGUAUCUGUAAGGAAUCGAAAUCAAAUGUUUCUUUUCAACAGCCCCAGCAAGCCAAGUUAAAUUUAGUUCACUGAAAUGCUUACAAUAAAUAGUUUCUUUUUAAAAGUUUAAUUUGCUUAGCGAUUACUUAUUGUUUUAAUUUGUCAGAUGUAUUUGAGUUAUGGUUAAAAUGCAAUUC